AUUCCAUGGUGUGGACAUUCCCUUUGUAGGUUUUUAUACCUCUCCUAUGCAUCACAGAGUGAUUCUCCUUCCUUUUGCCUAAAAGUAUUCAAUUCUAUUCUCAGUUU